rnacentral:rRNA from 1 species
GUAACACGUAGACAACUUACCCUUGGGACCGGGAUAACCCCUGGGAAACUGGGGUUAAUACCGGAUAGUGCAUCGAUUGCUGGAAUGCACGAUGUACGAAAGCUGAGGCGCCCAAGGAUAGGUCUGUGGCCGAUUAGGUUGUUGUUGAUGUAACGGAUCAACAAGCCUACGAUCGGUACGGGUUGUGAGAGCAAUAGCCCGGAGAUGGGUUCUGAGAGAAGAACCCAGGUCCUACGGGACGCAUCAGGCGCGAAAACUUUACAAUGUGCGAAAGCACGAUAAGGGAACUCUGAGUGCCUCCUAAGGAGGCUGUUCAGAUGUUUAAAAAGCAUCUGGAGGAAGGGCUGGGCAAGACCGGUGCCAGCCGCCGCGGUAACACCGGCAGCCCAAGUGGUGGUCAUGCUUACUGGGUCUAAAGCGUCCGUAGCCGGCCGGGUAAGUUCCUUGGGAAAUUUGAUCGCUUAACGAUUAAGCUACCUGGGAAUACUACUUGGCUUGGGACCGGGAGAGGUCAGAGGUACUUCAAGGGUAGGGGUGAAAUCCGUUAAUCCUUGGGGGACCACCAGUAGCGAAGGCGUCUGAUCAGACCGGAUCCGACGGUGAGGGACGAAGGCUAGGGGAGCGAACCGGAUUAGAUACCCGGGUAGUCCUAGCAGUAAACGAUGCGGGCUAGGUGUUGGCAUUACUGCGAGUGAUGCCAGUGCCGAAGGGAAGCCGUUAAGCCCGCCAUCUGGGGAGUACGGUCGCAAGG